rnacentral:rRNA from 1 species
GAUGAACUCUAGCUACAGGCUUAACACAUGCAAGUCGAGGGGCAGCAUGGUCUUAGCUUGCUAAGGCCGAUGGCGACCGGCGCACGGGUGAGUAACACGUAUCCAACCUGCCGUCUACUCUUGGACAGCCUUCUGAAAGGAAGAUUAAUACAAGAUGGCAUCAUGAGUCCGCAUGUUCACAUGAUUAAAGGUAUUCCGGUAGACGAUGGGGAUGCGUUCCAUUAGAUAGUAGGCGGGGUAACGGCCCACCUAGUCUUCGAUGGAUAGGGGUUCUGAGAGGAAGGUCCCCCACAUUGGAACUGAGACACGGUCCAAACUCCUACGGGAGGCAGCAGUGAGGAAUAUUGGUCAAUGGGCGAGAGCCUGAACCAGCCAAGUAGCGUGAAGGAUGACUGCCCUAUGGGUUGUAAACUUCUUUUAUAAAGGAAUAAAGUCGGGUAUGGAUACCCGUUUGCAUGUACUUUAUGAAUAAGGAUCGGCUAACUCCGUGCCAGCAGCCGCGGUAAUACGGAGGAUCCGAGCGUUAUCCGGAUUUAUUGGGUUUAAAGGGAGCGUAGAUGGAUGUUUAAGUCAGUUGUGAAAGUUUGCGGCUCAACCGUAAAAUUGCAGUUGAUACUGGAUAUCUUGAGUGCAGUUGAGGCAGGCGGAAUUCGUGGUGUAGCGGUGAAAUGCUUAGAUAUCACGAAGAACUCCGAUUGCGAAGGCAGCCUGCUAAGCUGCAACUGACAUUGAGGCUCGAAAGUGUGGGUAUCAAACAGGAUUAGAUACCCUGGUAGUCCACACGGUAAACGAUGAAUACUCGCUGUUUGCGAUAUACAGCAAGCGGCCAAGCGAAAGCGUUAAGUAUUCCACCUGGGGAGUACGCCGGCAACGGUGAAACUCAAAGGAAUUGACGGGGGCCCGCACAAGCGGAGGAACAUGUGGUUUAAUUCGAUGAUACGCGAGGAACCUUACCCGGGCUUAAAUUGCAGAUGAAUUACGGUGAAAGCCGUAAGCCGCAAGGCAUCUGUGAAGGUGCUGCAUGGUUGUCGUCAGCUCGUGCCGUGAGGUGUCGGCUUAAGUGCCAUAACGAGCGCAACCCUUGUUGUCAGUUACUAACAGGUUCCGCUGAGGACCCUGACAAGACUGCCAUCGUAAGAUGUGAGGAAGGUGGGGAUGACGUCAAAUCAGCACGGCCCUUACGUCCGGGGCUACACACGUGUUACAAUGGGGGGUACAGAGGGCCGCUACCACGCGAGUGGAUGCCAAUCCCAAAAACCUCUCUCAGUUCGGACUGGAGUCUGCAACCCGACUCCACGAAGCUGGAUUCGCUAGUAAUCGCGCAUCAGCCACGGCGCGGUGAAUACGUUCCCGGGCCU